ACAGCAACUAUUACAGUAAACACCAUGUUAAUUUUACAUGAAAUGUGAGAAGCAGGAAAGAUCCUUACCAUAAGUGAUAACACUUUACUUAAAACAACUAUUAAUGAGUUAUGCUAAUCUUGUUAAAAUGGGUACUGGCCUGCCCUUUAAGCUGGUAGACCUAUCCAAAGGUUGCACUUUUUACAGAUCUUGAAUGAAUGUCGUCGCCUGACUGGUGUAUCACCUGAUGAAGCAUUACUGCGUGCACUGAGAGAAUUCAGUGAGCACAUCCUCAAUGCAGCGGCACAAAAGCACGCAGCACAGACUACCCUUUGCUCUCUGCAGGCAGACAUGUCAGUGGACAACAGGAUUGCAAGAAACUAUGCCAAAGGAGUGGGUGCCAUCAUGGUCCUUCCAUUUCUCGUCAACGAGCGAGGAGGUGAAAUAUUCACAGAAAUGACACCAGGGAAGGGAUUCACACAUCCGACACUGCUCUACACUGGCGAAAACCCCGUAUCUUCUGAGGCCAUGUGCGUGAAGUG